GACGAACGCUGGCGGCGUGCUUAACACAUGCAAGUCGAACGGUAAGGCCCUUCGGGGUACACGAGUGGCGAACGGGUGAGUAACACGUGGGUGAUCUGCCCUGCACUUCGGGAUAAGCCUGGGAAACUGGGUCUAAUACCGGAUAGGACCACUGCCUGCAUGGGUGGUGGUGGAAAGCUUUUGCGGUGUGGGAUGGGCCCGCGGCCUAUCAGCUUGUUGGUGGGGUGAUGGCCUACCAAGGCGACGACGGGUAGCCGGCCUGAGAGGUUGACCGGCCACACUGGGACUGAGGUACGGCCCAGACUCCUACGGGAGGCAGCAGUGGGGAAUGUUGCACAAUGGGCGCAAGCCUGAUGCAGCGACGCCGCGUGAGGGAUGACGGCCUUCGGGUUGUAAACCUCUUUCAGCACCGACGAAGCGCAAGUGACGGUAGGUGCAGAAGAAGGACCGGCCAACUACGUGCCAGCAGCCGCAGUAA
rnacentral:rRNA from 1 species